CCUACGGGUGGCAGCAGUGAGGAAUAUUGGUCAAUGGACGAGAGUCUGAACCAGCCAAGUAGCGUGAAGGAUGACUGCCCUAUGGGUUGUAAACUUCUUUUAUAUGGGAAUAAAAUGUUCCACGUGUGGGAUUUUGUAUGUACCAUAUGAAUAAGGAUCGGCUAACUCCGUGCCAGCAGCCGCGGUAAUACGGAGGAUCCGAGCGUUAUCCGGAUUUAUUGGGUUUAAAGGGAGCGUAGGUGGAUUGUUAAGUCAGUUGUGAAAGUUUGCGGCUCAACCGUAAGAUUGCAGUUGAAACUGGCAGUCUUGAGUACAGUAGAGGUGGGCGGAAUUCGUGGUGUAGCGGUGAAAUGCUUAGAUAUCACGAAGAACUCCGAUUGCGAAGGCAGUUCACUGGACUGCAACUGACACUGAGGCUCGAAAGUGUGGGUAUCAAACAGGAUUAGAUACCCGUGUAGUC
rnacentral:rRNA from 1 species